AAAUGAUUAAUGGUGUUGCUAUAAAACGUAUUUAUAUGAGAGUAUUAUCCUAUAGGUAGGAGAAAAUAAGACGUGCUUUAAAUACAAAGUUCACCAUAUAUAUCUUUUUUUACGGUAGAGGGUAUAAUUUUUAAAAUGAACAUACAACAAGACAUGCACAUGAAAAAGUGGGGAAAACAUGCAACAAAAGCGCGAUUAAAUGACACCUUACAAGUAUUAUAAAACAAAAAAGUGUGCUGCACAGCCUCCAACUAAAAGCC
rnacentral:lncRNA from 1 species